rnacentral:tRNA from 1 species
CAGGGAGACAACAAAAUGUUUAAUAUUAUUAUUUUGUCACCUUAGGUCGAUCGGUAUCUCACGUUUUUAAUUUAUUAAGAAUUUCAUUUCCUAAGUUUUUCUAGGUCACACCCAUUAUUUUUCCUGGGCCAUUAGCUCAGGUGGUUAGAGCGCACCCCUGAUAAGGGUGAGGUCCCUGGUUCAAGUCCAGGAUGGCCCAUAUCUCUAUGUUGGGGGUAUAGCUCAGUUGGUAGAGCGCCUGCUUUGCAAGCAGGAUGUCAGCGGUUCGAGUCCGCUUACCUCCACUGAUUACCACCUCUUCCAUAAUCUGUAGAAAGGAAAUGUAUUGAGUUGUGAUCAAAUCCUGAACGAAUCUAGCUUCCUAAUGAAAUCAUUAAGAUGCUGGACUCAUUGAAUUAAUUUCAUUGUUUUCAGAGAACCUUGACAACUGCAUAGAUUAUUUUUUAAAGACAAUAAGCAUCUUUAAUGAUGCAGAUUUAUUAUUUGUGCGAAUGCAUUAAUAACAAUUCUAUUAAGCUGAUGCUUCAAUUUUGAAGUUAUU